rnacentral:rRNA from 1 species
CAAGUUGAGAGUUUGAUCCUGGCUCAGAGCGAACAUUGGCGGUAGGCUUAACACAUGCAAGUCGAGCGAGGCGUAAUAGUCGAGCGGCGAACGGGUGAGUAAUACAUGGAAAUCUACCUAGAAGUGGGGGAUAACGUUCAGAAAUGAACGCUAAUACCGCAUAAGCCCGAAAGGGGAAAGCGUUGCAGCGCUUUUAGAUGAGUCCAUGGCUGAUUAGCUUGUUGGUGAGGUAAUGGCUCACCAAGGCGACGAUCAGUAGCUGGUCUGAGAGGAUGACCAGCCACACUGGAACUGAGACACGGUCCAGACUCCUACGGGAGGCAGCAGUGGGGAAUCUUGCGCAAUGGGGGCAACCCUGACGCAGCCAUACCGCGUGAGUGAUGAAGGUCUUCGGAUUGUAAAGCUCUUUCGGCGGGGACGACGAUGACGGUACCCGCAAAAGAAGUCACGGCUAACUUCGUGCCAGCAGCCGCGGUAAUACGAAGGUGGCGAAUGUUGCUCGGAUUCACUGGGCGUAAAGCGUCUGUAGGUGGCUUGUUAAGUUAGAGGUGAAAGCCCCGCGCUCAACGUGGGAACUGCCUUUAAAACUGGCGAGCUUGAGAGUAUCAGAGGAAGGCGGAAUAACUGGUGUAGAGGUAAAAUUCAUAGAUAUCAGUUGGAACAUCCAUGGCGAAGGCAGCUUUCUGGGGUAUUUCUGACACUGAGAGACGACAGCGUGGGGAGCAAACAGGAUUAGAUACCCUGGUAGUCCACGCCGUAAACGAUGCAUACUCGCUGUCGGGUUCGCUACAGAACUCGGUGGCUUAGCUAACGCGGUAAGUAUGCCGCCUGGGGAUUACGGCCGCAAGGUUAAAACUCAAAGGAAUUGACGGGGACCCGCACAAGUGGUGGAGCAUGUCCAUUAAUUCGAAGAUACGCGAAGAACCUUACCAAGCCUUGACAUCCUGGUAGACUUUCCCUGAAAGGGGAGGGGCAUUUAGUUGGACCAGUGACAGGUGUUGCAUGGCUGUCGUCAGCUCGUGUCGUGAGAUGUUGGGUUAAGUCCCGCAACGAGCGCAACCCUCGCCUUUAAUUG